AUUGAACGCUGGCGGCAGGCUUAACACAUGCAAGUCGAACGGUAACAUAAAGAAGCUUGCUUCUUUGAUGACGAGUGGCGGACGGGUGAGUAAUGCUUGGGAAUCUAGCUUAUGGAGGGGGAUAACUACGGGAAACUGUAGCUAAUACCGCGUAGAAUCGAGAGAUGAAAGUGUGGGACCUUCGGGCCACAUGCCAUAGGAUGAGCCCAAGUGGGAUUAGGUAGUUGGUGAGGUAAAGGCUCACCAAGCCGACGAUCUCUAGCUGGUCUGAGAGGAUGACCAGCCACACUGGGACUGAGACACGGCCCAGACUCCUACGGGAGGCAGCAGUGGGGAAUAUUGCGCAAUGGGGGCAACCCUGACGCAGCCAUGCCGCGUGAAUGAAGAAGGCCUUCGGGUUGUAAAGUUCUUUCGGUAGCGAGGAAGGCAUUUAGUUUAAUAGACUAGGUGAUUGACGUUAACUACAGAAGAAGCACCGGCUAACUCCGUGCCAGCAGCCGCGGUAAUACGGAGGGUGCGAGCGUUAAUCGGAAUAACUGGGCGUAAAGGGCACGCAGGCGGUGACUUAAGUGAGGUGUGAAAGCCCCGGGCUUAACCUGGGAAUUGCAUUUCAUACUGGGUCGCUAGAGUACUUUAGGGAGGGGUAGAAUUCCACGUGUAGCGGUGAAAUGCGUAGAGAUGUGGAGGAAUACCGAAGGCGAAGGCAGCCCCUUGGGAAUGUACUGACGCUCAUGUGCGAAAGCGUGGGGAGCAAACAGG
rnacentral:rRNA from 1 species